AGAGUUUGAUCAUGGCUCAGGAUGAACGCUGGAGGCGUGCUUAACACAUGCAAGUCGAGCGGAAGUAGAGGUAGCUUGCUACCGCUACUUUAGCGGCGGACGGGUGAGUAACACGUAGACAAUCUGCCGAUAACAGAAGAAUAACAUUCAGAAAUGGAUGCUAAUACUUCAUAAGCCCCCAGGUACGCAUGUACAAGAGGGAAAAGGGCGUAAGCUUGGUUAUUGAGGAGUCUGCGGCUGAUUAGCUAGUUGGUAGGGUAAAGGCCUACCAAGGCGACGAUCAGUAGCCGGCCUGAGAGGGUGAACGGCCACAUUGGGACUGAGACACGGCCCAAACUCCUACGGGAGGCAGCAGUGGGGAAUAUUGCACAAUGGAGGAAACUCUGAUGCAGCGACGCCUCGUGAAGGAAGAAGGUUUUCGGAUUGUAAACUUCUAUCGAUGGGGAAGAAAAAAAUGACGGUACC
rnacentral:rRNA from 1 species